UACGUAGGAUGCAAGGCGUUGUCCGGAAUUAUUGGGCGUAAAGAGCGCGCAGGCGGUCUAUCAAGUCAGAUGUGAAAUAUCCGGGCUUAACCCGGAGGGGUCAUUUGAAACUGGUAGACUAGAGUACAGCAGAGGAUAGCGGAAUUCCCGGUGUAGUGGUGAAAUGCGUAGAUAUCGGGAGGAACACCAGUGGCGAAGGCGGCUAUCUGGGCUGAAACUGACGC
rnacentral:rRNA from 1 species